rnacentral:lncRNA from 1 species
AGGGCUUGUGGCCAUACAUGUUAAACAGCAAGACGAUUUAAUUUGUGGUCUAACAAUACGUUUGUUAAUAAUUGCAACAAAAAUAGAUCUACUUUUUGCUAAUAGUGGCCAAAUAAAGGAGGAUCCAGACUAUGACAAGUUUACAUUGUACAGAAUUAGUGCUAACAAUAAAUUUCUCUCUUUUCUUCUUAUUUUAUAUUGAUAAUAGCUUCUGAAUUAAUUUUUAACUACCACUCCCCCUUUGUAGAAUGAUCGGAUUUUUAUGCAUGAACAAUAACCCUGUUUUAUUUUAAGAAUGGGGCUCUAAAAUGGACGGAGGAGCUUAAGUUCAGCAGCCAAAUAGGGCAGGCAUGUUGUGUAUAGAGUUUGCAAGAUAUGCUGUUCAUUUCUUACACUUAAAAAGCUUAGUCAGAACAACUAUUUCAUAUUCCAAUACAUAAUGAAAGCACUUUUCUUAUCUUUCUUCCAUGCUUUUCAUUACGUGAUUCGAUAACCAUGAUGACAGAUAACUUGACUAUUUUGUAUCUGUAUUUCAGGUUUGCACCUAAUCAUUUACUUUCUAAAGAACACCUCUGAAGUUUCAUUACACAGGAAGUGAGUCACUAUCGCUAUCAUGGAAAUUCGAGUAUUUAGCAUUUUCAGUAUGUUUUGUCCCCCCUUUUUUGCGAGUUAACUGACAUAAGGUUGCUUCAAAUGGAAUAUGUACUAAUAGUCGCAUCACAUUAUGCAUUUGCUUCAUUUUAAACCUGCCACUUGUGUGUCCAUCAUGAUAUUGGUGCGAUUUAUUUUCCUAAGGGUAUAUUCAUCUCACCAGAAAUUUAUUUUGUGUGGCUUUUGUCUUCCUAAAUUUCGCGUGUUUUUUUUCCUGGUUAGCUAACCAAUUAUUAUUCUAGCGCAUGCUGUACUAAGGGCUUUUUACCUUAUUGCACAGUUUAUCAUUCUAGAAGACUAGAAUUUUCUCCACAGUUAGGAUGUUGAUAUGAAAAGUUUAAUUCAUGUUUAAUCAUUCCAGAGCUAAGCUUAGCUUAGAGAAACUGUGCUUGCUGCAUGCCACCUGUGUCAUACAAAAAUGUUAAAUUAAAUUUCUUCAUUUUUGUACAUGAAUAUGUUGCACCACAUGAGAUGAGACAAACUCAGAAUGGGAGCAAAAUAGUCAUGACUACUGGCGAACUCUUCUAGCUUGCCGCGUUCCCACUGGUGGCGUUGUAGUCAAGCCCAACAAUUCAACUUGUGAUGAUAACAUGUAGCACGAAACCCAAGAGGGAACGGGUUUAGUUUUUCCAGGACAACUAUUUUUUUAUAUUUAUUAAAAAUUUGCAGUCAUGUUCACUUGGACAAUACCUAUACCUAUUAUAAGUCCUUCAAGUUCAGACAAGAAAAAUUAGAUAUCCUGAAAUCUUUACUAUACAAUCAUUUUGGUAUUCUUGAACUUCAAAUGACAUCAACAAAAGAUAAUUGAUGGUUUGCAUUAACUUGACCUUUAGACAUGCAGGAUCAUCAGGCACUAUAGAUAUUCUUUUCCCCCAAAUUUCUAGAAUAUGAAUUAAGAAUUCAAUACUCAUGUGAUUUUAAUAAGCUACUUUGAUCGAGACGUGCGUUGCAUGUGCAAGCUUACUAGU